AUGCCUCCACCGACCACUCCGCCUGCUCCACCUGCGCCACCCACCCAGAUCCUCGACGAGAGAUACAAAGACAUGGUAUGUUUCACAUGUGGGGGGCCUAGACAUUAUGUUGGUAACUGCAUAGAGAAGAAAAUCUGCUUUAUUUGUGGUCUAGAGGGGCACAAUGUCAACAACUGUUCAGCUUGGGCGCAGCCACACCCUGUUGCAACCUUUUUUGGCAGUUCUGCUCUUGGUUUAGGAUUAUAUCAUAUUGAUGCACCUGUGGGCCGUGAAGCGAAUUGGCGGACUUUCAGGAACUGUGGUGAGGUCCAUGUGUUUAAAGGAGAGAUCAAGCAGGUAGAUCUGAUUAAAAAUCUUUCUGAGAUCUUCUGCAAGCUUAGACAGUGGCCAUGGCAAGUCAGCACAUUCUCAGAGAAAAAGUUCUUGGUUAGAUUCCCUCCUUGGAAGAAGGUUGAAGAACUAACUGAAUUCCCUGCCUUUGAUCUGCCAAUUACUGGUGUUUCAGUCUCUGUUGAGAAAUGGACUGGUGCAAUAGACCCUUUAUCCGAGAAAUGGACUGGUGCAAUAGACCCUUCGAUCUGCCAAUUACUUGCUUGGGUUGUUGUUGAAGGCCUGUCGUCAAAAUGGUGCAUGUGGAAGGUAUUCUCUCAGAUUGCCUCAUGCUUUGGGAUCCUGGUAGAUGUGGACUGGAAUGGGCUGAUGAAGAGCUUUUAUGAGAAAGUCGGAAUCAAGAUUGCGUGUAGGAGUCUUGAGAAAAUUCCUUUUGAACGGAUUAUGGAAAUGAGGAAAAAGCUAUACAUUCUAUCUUUCACUGUUGAAGGUUUUGAACAAGUGGGUGCUGAUGAUCCUAAUGAUGAUAAUGGACCUACUGAUAUAGAUGUGGAUGGCUUGGAAAAUGAUCUUGAUGUGGGUGAUACUGACAAGGAUCGCUUGGAAGAUGGUGAGGAUGGUUUUGAUGAACUGGAUCUAGCUAAUAGAGCUAGCACCUCUGAAAACCCACCUGCUAGUAAAGGUAAGGAGUGCACCACCUUUCAUCCUCCUGCAUUGGUGGAAGCUUGCUAUACUCCUUGCAAAAAACCUGAGGACAAUGUGGAGAAAGAAAGCUGUCAGACUGCUGUCAUCCUCCCCUUUGCUGAAGUUAUCAAACUUCUAGAUGGGCCUGAGAUGAACACACCUGAUCCUCAAGCUGAAGCUGAUUUUGCUGACACUAUUGGCAGCCUUGUAGUUUCUGCCCAGAAAACAUACUUCUCUGACCUACUGAGAGAUUUUGAUAGCUCUGGUUCGGAUACUGCCACUGAAGCUGGAGAUACUGAUAGUGAAAUGGAGACCUUAAUUGAGCCAGUCGUGAACUGUCUGAAGAUGCUGGAGUUCAGGAACAAGGUGAGAAAUGAUACUGCUGGUAACAAUAUCCCUCCCCCCUCCCUCCAAGAAGAACAUCUCUGGUAA
rnacentral:rRNA from 1 species